ensembl:snoRNA Snord91a small nucleolar RNA, C/D box 91A
UAGGGAAGUCAAUGAUGGUUACGCCCGAAAUGUCUGAACCUGUCUGAAGCAUCUAGGUGAUGCAGUAUUUGUGGUUCUGAGACUUCUCUAAGA